rnacentral:rRNA from 1 species
UAGGGAAUCUUCGGCAAUGGGGGGAACCCUGACCGAGCAACGCCGCGUGAGUGAAGAAGGUUUUCGGAUCGUAAAGCUCUGUUGUUAAGGAAGAACGAGUGUGAGAAUGGAAAGUUCAUGCUGUGACGGUACUUAACCAGAAAGGGACGGCUAACUACGUGCCAGCAGCCGCGGUAAUACGUAGGUGGCAAGCGUUGUCCGGAUGGAUUGGGCGUAAAGCGAGCGCAGGCGGUCAAUUAAGUCUGAUGUGAAAGCCCCCGGCUCAACCGGGGAGGGUCAUUGGAAACUGGUUGACUUGAGUGCAGAAGAGGAGAGUGGAAUUCCAUGUGUAGCGGUGAAAUGCGUAGAUAUAUGGAGGAACUCCAGUGGCGAAGGCGACUCUCUGGUCAGUAACUGACGCUGAGGCUCGAAAGCGUGGGUAGCAAACAGG